UACGUAGGGGGCAAGCGUUGUCCGGAAUUAUUGGGCGUAAAGGGCGCGUAGGCGGCCUCCGCAAGUCAGUUGUGAAAUCUCCGAGCUUAACUCGGAAAGGUCAACUGAUACUGCGGGGCUAGAGUGCGGAAGGGGCAACUGGAAUUCUUGGUGUAGCGGUGAAAUGCGUAGAUAUCAAGAGGAACACCUGCGGCGAAGGCGGGUUGCUGGGCCGACACUGACGCUGAGGCGCGAAAGCUAGGGGAGCGAACGGG
rnacentral:rRNA from 1 species